rnacentral:rRNA from 1 species
GACAGAGGGUGCAAACGUUGUUCGGAAUUACUGGGCGUAAAGCGCGUGUAGGCGGCUAAGCAAGUCGGGCGUGAAAUCCCAUGGCUCAACCAUGGAAGUGCACCCGAAACUGCAUAGCUAGAGUCCUGGAGAGGAAGGUGGAAUGCUUGGUGUAGAGGUGAAAUUCGUAGAUAUUACGCAAGAACACCAGUGGCGAAGGCGGCUCACUGGCCCGGUACUGGACGCUGAGGUGCGAAAGCGUGGGGAGCAAACAGG